rnacentral:lncRNA from 8 species
CGCUCUUAUCCAGAGCACCUUACAGGAGCAAUCAGGGUUAAGUGCCUUGCUAAAGGGCACAUCAACAGAUCUUUCACUGGAAUUCGAACCAGUGACUUUUCGGUUACUGGCCCAACACGCUUAACCACUAGACAUGUGCCCGCACUCAGAGAGUUCCCAGACCACUCAGAGAGUUUCCAGACCACUCAGAGAGCUCCCAGACCACUCAGAGAGUUCCCAGACCACUCAGAGAGCUCCCAGACCACAGAGAGUUCCCAGACCACUCAGAGAGUUCCAGACCACAGAGAGUUCCAGACCACUCAGAGAGUUCCAGACCACUCAGAGAGUUCCAGUCAGAGAGUUCCAGACCACUCAGAGAGCUCCCAUACCACUCAGAGAGCUCCCAGACCACUCAGAGAGCUCCCAGACCACUCAGAGAGCUCCCAGACCACUCAGAGAGCUCCCAGACCACUCAGAGAGUUCCCAGACCACUCAGAGAGCUCCCAGACCACAGAGAGCUCCCAGACCACUCAGAGAGUUCCAGACCACUCAGAGAGUUCCAGACCACUCAGAGAGUUCCAGACCACUCAGAGAGUUCCAGACCACAGAGAGUUCCAGACCACUCAGAGAGUUCCAGACCACUCAGAGAGUUCCAGACCACUCAGAGAGUUCCAGACCACUCAGAGAGUUCCAGACCACUCAGAGAGUUCCAGACCACAGAGAGUUCCAGACCACUCAGAGAGUUCCAGACCACUCAGAGAGUUCCAGACCACUCAGAGAGUUCCAGACCACUCAGAGAGUUCCAGACCACUCAGAGAGCUCCCAGACCACAGAGAGUUCCCAUACCACUCAGAGAGCUCCCAGACCACUCAGAGAGCUCCCAGACCACUCAGAGAGCUCCCAGACCACUCAGAGAGCUCCCAGACCACUCAGAGAGCUCCCAGACCACUCAGAGAGCUCCUAGACCACUCAGAGAGUUCCAGACCACAGAGAGUUCCAGACCACAGAGAGUUCCAGACCACUCAGAGAGUUCCAGACCACAGAGAGUUCCAGACCACUCAGAGAGUUCCAGACCACAGAGAGUUCCAGACCACUCAGAGAGUUCCAGACCACUCAGAGAGUUCCAGACCACUCAGAGAGUUCCAGACCACACAGAGAGCUCCCAGACCACUCAGAGAGUUCCAGACCACUCAGAGAGUUCCCAGACCACUCAGAGAGUUCCAGACCACUCAGAGAGUUCCAGACCACUCAGAGAGUUCCAGACCACACAGAGAGCUCCCAGACCACUCAGAGAGUUCCAGACCACUCAGAGAGUUCCCAGACCACUCAGAGAGUUCCAGACCACUCAGAGAGUUCCCAGACCACUCAGAGAGCUCCCAGACCACUCAGAGAGCUCCCAUACCACUCAGAGAGCUCCCAGACCACUCAGAGAGCUCCCAGACCACAGAGAGUUCCAGACCACUCAGAGAGCUCCCAUACCACUCAGAGAGCUCCCAGACCACAGAGAGUUCCAGACCACAGAGAGUUCCAGACCACAGAGAGUUCCAGACCACUCAGAGAGUUCCAGACCACUCAGAGAGUUCCAGACCACUCAGAGAGUUCCAGACCACUCAGAGAGUUCCAGACCACACAGAGAGUUCCAGACCACUCAGAGAGUUCCCAUACCACUCAGAGAGUUCCCAUACCACUCAGAGAGCUCCCAGACCACUCAGAGAGCUCCCAGACCACUCAGAGAUCUCCCAGAUGGGAGGGAGCCAGUGA